ACGAGAGGGUUUCGAUUCUGGCUCAGAACGAACGCUGGCGGCAUGGAUUAGGCAUGCAAGUCGAACGAAGCAGCAAUGCUUAGUGGCGCAAGGGUGAGGAACGCGUGAGUGACCUACCCGCAAGCUUGGAACAGCUCCUGGAAACGGGAAUUAAUACCGGAUGUGAUCAUAGGGCUGCAUGGUUUUAUGAUUAAAGCAGCAAUGCGCUUGCGGAUGGGCUCGCGUCCCAUUAGCUGGUUGGUGAGGUAACGGCCCACCAAGGCGAUGAUGGGUAGCUGGUCUGAGAGGACGACCAGCCACACUGGGACUGAGAACUGCCCAGACUCCUACGGGAGGCUGCAGUCGAGAAUUUUGGGCAAUGGACGAAAGUCUUGGCCCAGCAAUGCCGCGUGCGGGAUGAAGGUCUUCGGAUUGUAAACCGCUGUUUGGAGGGACGAAGUUUGACGGUACCUCCAGAGAAAGCCACGGCUAACUACGUGCCAGCAGCGGC
rnacentral:rRNA from 1 species